rnacentral:rRNA from 1 species
AUUGAACGCUGGCGGCAUGCCUUACACAUGCAAGUCGAACGGUAACAGGUCUUCGGAUGCUGACGAGUGGCGAACGGGUGAGUAAUACAUCGGAACGUGCCCGAUCGUGGGGGAUAACGAGGCGAAAGCUUUGCUAAUACCGCAUACGAUCUACGGAUGAAAGCGGGGGAUCUUCGGACCUCGCGCGGACGGAGCGGCCGAUGGCAGAUUAGGUAGUUGGGGGGAUAAAAGCUUACCAAGCCGACGAUCUGUAGCUGGUCUGAGAGGAUGAUCAGCCACACUGGGACUGAGACACGGCCCAGACUCCUACGGGAGGCAGCAGUGGGGAAUUUUGGACAAUGGGCGAAAGCCUGAUCCAGCAAUGCCGCGUGCAGGAUGAAGGCCUUCGGGUUGUAAACUGCUUUUGUACGGAACGAAAAGCCCCGGGUUAAUACCCUGGGGUCAUGACGGUACCGUAAGAAUAAGCACCGGCUAACUACGUGCCAGCCGCCGCCGUAA